rnacentral:rRNA from 1 species
UACGAAGGGGGCUAGCGUUGCUCGGAAUCACUGGGCGUAAAGCGCACGUAGGCGGCUUUGUAAGUCAGGGGUGAAAGCCUGGAGCUCAACUCCAGAACUGCCUUUGAGACUGCAUCGCUUGAAUCCGGGAGAGGUAAGUGGAAUUCCGAGUGUAGAGGUGAAAUUCGUAGAUAUUCGGAAGAACACCAGUGGCGAAGGCGGCUUACUGGACCGGGAUUGACGCUGAGGUGCGAAAGCGUGGGGAGCAAACAGG